GCCCAGCUUUCUCCAGCUUUGGGGCGUGUGUGCUCCCACUUUUUCAGCAGUAACGCUCUUUCUCUCUCUUCUGGCUCCGGGAGAGGGUGAAAGGGAGGGUUCUGUCUGUGCAGGGUUGGGUUGGAGUCCGAGGACGCCUACCGUUGGGGAGGAGGGGGAAACAAGCGAGGGGUAGCGUGGCACUGAGCACUGGGGAGGAUAUGCUUUCGCACACUAGACUGGACCCAGCCAUCCGGGAAGUCCUUCGACCUCUACUGAGGCCGACUCUCUGCUUGGGCUUUGGAGAUUAUCUGGCCCUGCAAAAUGAGUGCAAUUGACGACCCGGACGCCUCUCUUACGGAGCCUCUCCUUUCUCCGUCCUUUCCCCUUCAGGUUUCCACUCUCCACCUCCUCUUCACAGAUGCCUUGUCCUCGUCCGGAUUUACCAGCUCCACGUUGAGCCUGGACUCAGAUCUAACUCUCCAAAGAGUCCCCCAAUGCCUGGACCUCCGUGUGCAUUCACUGACCCCACUCUUACAGGAUGGCAUGGUGAAGUCUAAUUUCAUUGAAAUGACCCAGAGGGAAGUAAGCGAUACCAAAUAGGAGACAGGAAAACUGAUUAAAGACAAACUCCAAUGUUUACCACCAUCACUGUCUCUCCUUAUGAAAGUCAACCUCACCUGAGAGAGAGAAGAAACAAAAUAUAUUUUUACAGAAUACAGAGAGAAUGGGUGUGACUGUCUUGGGGUGCCUGAGAAAUUGUUAGGAACUAUAGAAAAUAACUGCUGCUUUAAAGUUACGAAUCAUAGAUUUCUCCCCUGCUGAAGCGAACACCAUCACCCACACCGAAGAAACAAACUUGAAAUCCAGCCAGUUAUGUAAAUCCUAUCAGAAUCAUACAAUAUAUCUUACUUGACUCCAGGAGUGAAAUAAUCACCCUGAAUCUGUCAUCUUGGAAGAUCUUGUUCAAAUUCUUUAUUUUAAACUUCAUUUUCCUUUAUGUUUAGGACCACCCUAGGUGAGUGUAGAGAAGGCUCUGUGCUUGAUUUUACUGCUCACAGGUGUUACAUUUUACAGUAACCUUGACAUUCUGAGGCGACUCCACUUGGCCACCUCAAAUGGUUAACUGAGAUCGGCAUUGGGGCAUUGGUCUCACCUAGCUGGAGCCUUUCUUUUCCCUUCACUUGGGAGCCAAAGCCGAUUAUAAUCAAGAGAAUAGAGGAGUAAGAUAGACAAUGGUUUCCUUCAGCUAAUCUUGUCUGUUUUAGAAGGUCAACUCCCUGGAUUUUCAGUAAAUAAUCACAGUUUUACCUUAUUCCUGGUACCAGGACUUAUUUUCCUGUUUAUCAGUGCUGUAUUUUUCUUUGACAUGUUCAGCAUGCUAUUGCUUUUCUAGUAAUCUGUUUCUCUUUCCCAAACCAUGAAUGUAUUGUCCUUGGGCCUAUUCUCUCACAUUAAGCAAAUAAAACUUCUACGGCUCAGUAAGCCUUCA
rnacentral:lncRNA from 1 species